rnacentral:rRNA from 1 species
UACGUAGGGUGCGAGCGUUAAUCGGAAUUACUGGGCGUAAAGCGUGCGCAGGCGGUUGGUUAAGUCUGAUGUGAAAGCCCCGGGCUCAACUUGGGAAUGGCAUUGGAAACUGGCAAGCUGGAGUGUGGCAGAGGGGGGUGGAAUUCCACGUGUAGCGGUGAAAUGCGUAGAGAUGUGGAGGAACACCGAUGGCGAAGGCAGCCUUCUGGGCCAACACUGACGCUCAUGCACGAAAGCUGGGGGAGCAAACGGG